GCCCUCAUAGCUCAGGGGAUAGAGCACCGCUCUCCUAAAGCGGGUGUCGCAGGUUCGAAUCCUGCUGGGGGCACCA
rnacentral:tRNA from 1 species